UUCAGGUUUCUCUUCCAUCGCUGAAUUUUCAGGUUCCUCAUUAACUGCUGGUUCUUCAAGUUUUUCCCCAACCAUUGGCUCUUCAGGUUCUUCAGGUUUUUCCUCAACUUUUGCAUAGUCAGCAAUAUCAUUGUUGGUAUCGCAUGGAAUUGCAUUGUCAGUUUUGUCCUUGGCGUCUGCAAUGGGCAAAUUCUGCAAGAAAAUUUAAAUUUUCACUUAGUAUUUCAAUAGAUAAACAGAUAUGAAUUCGUUGCACAUAGAGAACUAAUAAGAUGGAUAAACUCUGUGACACUGCUAAAGGAGAGUUACCGUUUCAGGUUUCUCCUCUUUAUUUGCUGGUUUUUCAGUUUUAUCUUCAACAACUAGUUCUUU